rnacentral:rRNA from 1 species
GACGUAGGGAGCGAGCGUUGUCCGGAAUUACUGGGCGUAAAGAGCUCGUAGGCGGGAGCGCGCGUCUGGGAGGAAAUCCCUCGGCUCAACUGGGGAGGGUCAUUCGAUACUGAUCGACUCGAAGGCAGGAGAGGGUAGUGGAAUUCCCGGUGUAGUGGUGAAAUGCGUAGAUAUCGGGAGGAACACCAGUGGCGAAGGCGACUACCUGGCCUGUUCUUGACGCUGAGGCGCGAAAGCUAGGGGAGCAAACGGG